CAAAAACUAUUCCCAAAGAUUUUAUAGCUCCUUCUAACAUUUGCAUGCCACCGGCUAGUGAUUCGGAGACACAUCCGCACACAGGUAUAGAAACUUCUCAUGAUGAUUCUACUUCUGUCGAACGGGAACAAGAAUCAACUUUUUCGAUGCCUACGCUAAUGUAGAUAGUAAAAUCGGUUUACCGCUGCAUGUGAGAAGCGAAUUGCUUCAUUCGAUUG
rnacentral:lncRNA from 1 species